GUGUGAGCAUGUGUGUAUGCAUGUGGGGUGUUUGGAGGGUGGGGUAUUCUGAAGCCCAGUUAGACGAAUGAGGUCACAUCCAUGCCUGAGGGGAAAAAGGCCUCUGCUGUGGGGUCUCCAGGCCAGUGGACAUCAGUGAGAUGCCCAGGCCCACAGCCACACAGGGACUCCCCCCAAUGAUCCUCAAUUACACCAUUGUUCUGAGUGAUUCCACUCUCCCUAGGCUGGUUAGGCAUCAUCUCCUUUCUCCACAAAAAGCUUUGUAAAAGCUUUCAUCCAGUGCGUUAUGGACUGAUGUCAUUACCAGAAACAGUAUUCUCUACAACUAAGCUGAAACGUCAUCAAACAAAGAGUUCUUCCCACGACAUUCCUCAGUUUGAAACAAACAUCGGACUAUCAACAGCAAUGCAUUAAAAGAGAUCCCUUUGAUUGGUGAA